rnacentral:rRNA from 1 species
GAUCGUAGCGGAGGACAUAUCAGUAAGCGGAGGAGCAUAUCUAUAAGCGGAGGAGCUAUCAAUAAGCGGAGGACCAUGUCGUCUGGCGGAUGUGUGCCCCCGGGCCCUAAAGCGCCGAAGACCCCUGGGUACGCUGUCUGAAGUUGCCAUCUGAUAAACUAGCUGAUCUAGUUAAAUCUUUCAUCAACGAAUCUCUUGGUUCCGGCAUCGAUGAAUGUGAAUUGCAAAUGCGAUAAUUAAUGUGAAUUGCAGAAUUCAGUGAAUCAUCCUCUCUUUGAACGGACAUUGCGCCCUCUGGUAUUCCGGAGGGCAUGCCUGUCCGAGCGUCAUUGCUGCCCUCAAGCACGGCUUGUGUGUUGGGCCCUCUGGCCCCCGGGGACGGGCCCCAAAGGGAGCGGCGGUCCCGCGUCCGGUCCUCGAUUGACUGGGGCUUCUUCACCCUUUCGUCAAGGUCCUGGCGGCGCCCGCCAACCCCCCCUCAAUCUUUAACCAGGUUGACCUCUAAUCAGGUAGGGAUACCCGCUGAACUUAAGCAUAUAAGACAACCCAGGAAACUUAAGCAUAUCAAUAAGCGGAGGAAA